GCACCAUUUAUAUGUGUGUGCGUGCCUAUGUAUCAUGUGAGACUCUGUGUGUCCGAAUCUGUGUAUGUGUCCCUGGAAGCAAGCAUCUGCAUUUGUGUGUCUGUGUGCAGGAUCACCUGGCAAGUGUUGUCCUUGUGUUGUGUGGGUCUUUGCAUACGUGUGUGUGUGUGUGUAUGGUGAUCAUGGCACCUACAGCUCUCUGUACGGAUGGGCGUGUGUCUGUAUGUCUGUGGGCGGGGAAGAAGGAAAGAGACAUGUCCCUUCCAGCACCCGAAGAGGACAAUCAGGAUGGGGUCCGUGCCGUUCCUCCAGUGUGGAACGUCUUCUCCCCUGCUUACUCCUAGGAACCAAAUCCUUCCCAUUCUGAUAGGCUCAAAUCUAUCUCAUCCACUCAGCAAAACACAGACUCUGUCCUACAUGGGCCUCACCAGGCUUCCUCCCUGCUCUCCAACCAGUGCCCGUGUCCUCUUCGAAUAGUGACUUCAAUGGCCAGCGCUCAUCGAAUGCCAACCGUGUGCCAGGCUCUGUGCAUAGAACUUUACAUCCGUCCCUUCACUCAGUUCCCGUGACAUCUAUGAGCUGGCUAAUGGGAUAUCUGUGUGCAGCUGAAAACUUAACGAGAUUUUUGCAACAUGUCUAAGUUCACACAGCCAAUAAGCAGGCAUUGCGUGAGAUCUUGGGACACACAGGUCAGCCACAGAGGCAAGUUUCUUGCUGACGAAGUUCUGGAUCCAGAGUGGGAGGCACUGCACUGCGUUCUCCGUGGAGUCCUUCCUUCAUCUUCAAAUAGCUCAUCCAAGAGCGUUAAGUGCACCCAUGACAACACACGACGUAUUGGAUUAUGAAGAUUCAUAUUAGACACAACCUCAUCGGUGCAUCAUUGGGUGUUCAUAUUAUUUGUGCACUGUGUCUGUGCCCCGAUGGGUCAUUUGGCAGUAAUCAGCUCAUCUGUUGACAGAGGCAUUUACCUCUUGUCCAAAGGUACCCACUUGAUAUUUACAAAUACUUAAUUAUAAUUUAUAUUGUCAUUAUUGUUAAGUAUUAAUGUCAAUAUUAUUUAUCUAUACUCAAUUAUAUAUUAACAUGAUUACUUUAUAAUUCAAUACGUCUGUCAUGUGGUGCAACAGAUGUACAAAAUCUGGUUGAUGAUCUUAACUGGGGCUUAUUUUGGGGUAGGGCUUAUACCUGUUUUAUGAUGAGCAUCCUGAAAAACCAUGCUAGGGUUUACUUUCCAGUUCGAUUUUCUACUCUUUUUUUUUUUUUUUUUUUUGGUACUAGGGAUUGAACUCAGGACCUUGUGCUUGCAAGGCAGGCAGCAGAACCACUGAGCUAAAUCCCCAGCCCCCAGUUACGUUUUAUUUUGGGGGAAAUAUGGUAUGUACCUUGCUAUGUACCUUAUUUUUUAUAUUAGCUUAGUGACUAUACUUACGCUGAUUACUGUGUGACCCAAGGUAACCUGUGAGGUGAUUUUACUGUAUAAAAACCCCUAGACAAAGAGACUUGACAGCUACCCACUUUAGGGACCCCUCCUGUCUCUCAGGAGCUUUCUCUCAAUAAACCUUUCUUACCCUCUUCACCUCCUUUGUCCUCAAGUCCAUUCUUCGGUACUGGGAGACAUGAACUCGGUGCAUCUGACAUCUAACAGGUUGGGAGUUCCCUCCCUGUAACACUAGCAUUUAUCUUUCCAUGUGUUUUGCCACCCUGUUGGACUGCAAAUCUCCCAAAGGGCAAAACUGUGCCUUAUCCAUUUUUGUAUCACCCACAGUUCCUACUGCCAGACACACAGUGGGUCCUCAAAUAUUUUUGGAAUGAGCCAGUCAUAAUUUUUUAAAAAUCCAACAAGAGUUCAGCUUAGCUAGAAAUGUUAGGCACCUAAACCCAAGCCAAAAAUUGUAAUAAAGACUCCCUUUAUUCUUUGUUGAAUGCAAAAUAAACAUUGAGGCAGUCUUUGCGCUGUAUCAUAACACGAGCGUGCCUCGGGGGAUUGAUGGGCAGAUGCAGAGAACAUCGGCACUUUGUCUGGACGUUCUCUCCUCACCUGAGCUGUUUAGGACCUUGCCUUCUCUCCCCUGGGGACUUUGCAUCAAUAAACAGUGGCUGAGCUGGAUUAAACUGGCUCUGAUCCUCUGCACUGGGUUAGACCGCUGAGCAGGGUGUGUAUUAUCUGUGAACAGGAGGCAGCUGGGGAAUUCGAAGUGUCUGCCCACAGUGUAAUUAUCCCCUGCUGAUGAGCGAAUCAGGAACCCACACUCUCAGGAGCAGCAGGGACGUUCUCCAGCCUGAGACGGGCUUCCCACUGGGUCUGACGGAAGGAAGGGAGAGGAGACAGGGACGGCGUUUCACAGCCGAUUUCUGUUGCUCUGCUCUGCGCGGAGAGCAGUGGGGGCGGACAGCUGAGGUCACGCCGACGGCACCAGAGGAAAAAGCAGGCUGUCUGUCUGGGCCCCUACUGUAAAUCAAGAGCUGUGCAUUGCUGCUGGAAAAUGAAAUGCUCUUGUUUUCAUUUUCCAACCUGGAAGCACUUGGUUAGGUAACAGAGGCUGCUUCUUUGGGGAGCAGGCAAGCCCUUCUGUGGGCAGGAAGCUGGCAUGACACCUGCUCCAGCAACCAGCCCUGCUGGCCCGGGCUGGGUGCUGAGGCUGCACACCAUGCAAGUCCUGGGCCCAGCCAGACUGUCCACCACACACUCUGGUUCCUCACAGCAACUGUCACCAUGGCAACGGAGAAAUGAGUCCUGAAAGCUGUCUUUCUCCACUGCUCAAGAGUAAGGUCAGCAACGGCAAGACUGUCUGUUCCACUGAUCUCUUUAUCCUUAUGCCCAUCGUAGGUAGGGUCUGGUGCUCAAUUCAAGGGCAUGGAGUAGCUGGGCAUGGUAAACACACACCUGUAAUCCCAGCACGCUGAGAUGUUGAGGCAGGAGGUUUGCAAAUUCCGAGUCCAGCCAACUCAGUGAGAUCCUGUCUCAAUUUAAAAAAGGGCUAGAGAUAUAGCUCAGUGUGAAGGCUCAAUCCUAGUAUCAAAAAAAGGUAUGGAAUGAAUGAAUGAACAGAUUCCUAGCAACAGCCUCACAGGUGUGGAGUGGGGGGACCUUUGCGUUGACCAGGCAGCAUGGCUGAGGUGCCUCAGUGAACCAUUGGGACCUAUUACAGGGCCAGGCUGGACACUACCAGCCCAUGUUUCAGAAUGGGCUGCCACCCAGGGAAGGGAGUAGCUGGUCUCUCCCAUUAAUCUUCUCUGCUCCAAACUGCCAUAUGCAACUUACUGUCCAACCCACACAGCUUAAAGUUUGAGUGCAUACAGUUCAUUCAUUCAUUUCACCUAGAACAAAUUACAACACCCCUUCUUGACUUAUGUAACCUAACAAGUAAGACUGAUGUUACUUACUUGUUUGUUUCAAAUUGCAAACAGUUACAACAAUGGUAUUCAUGCUUUUCAAAUGGUUACAUGGGCAACACCCAGGCCAAGGACCAAGUUUCCAGAUUUGCAAGGAUGUGCACAAUUUCAAAUAUUUUGUUCUGUUAUCCGCAUAAACACCCUUUAGCUUUUCAGACGUGGUGACCUAUUUUUGGUUAGGAAAAUAGGUCACCUUAAAGCAACUUCUCUGUGUGCCUUGUGGUUGGCCUGCCCUGGCCACAUGCAGGCUCCCAGUGAAUAGAAUCAGGGGAACAGGGCAGGAUCUGAUACAUCCCCUUGCUCAGGGUGCCUGUGGCAGAGAUGACACCCAGAGCUACAUCUGAUUGUCCAGUUGGACAGCUUGGCACAGCCAAGAUCAUCUUGCAGGACUGUGGCAUCCACCUUAGCUCUUUCUCCUUUGUGCAUGAGUCUGGCACAAAUGAUCCACUGCCACAUUUCUCUUUCUACCAGAGAAAGCUGUGCAGCUAUCCUGUGACCACUUGGGAAAAGGGGUCCACAUUGACGCUGGGGAGCCCAUCACCUUCUAGACUACACACAGGUGAAAACUGUCCCACUUUGUUUCCUAAACCAAGCAGUGCAACUUGUCACAGCUACUCUCAUGCCAGGAGAAGGGUCACUGAACUCCUGGCUGGGAAGUGGCCACUUUUCUGGAAGUCUCUCUAGAGACCCUUGACUCUCGGAGCCCCCAGAGGCAGACAGAUAAGGCUGCUGCUGGGAGGGCAGUGUGGAAACAUUUGGCAGCUGACUGUGACUAAUAAAAACCUGGAUGCCUGGAAUUUAAAACAUUUGCAGCAGCCCCAGUCCGUGUGGUUAAGAGAAGAAAGGGCUUUUUCAGGUCUCUGCGUUCUUCCAGAAAGCAAGGGAGAGGAGGAUGGGGUACUGGGUUCUCCCUUCAUCCCUUGGGUGGACAUGAAUGACUUUCUUAUGGCUCUGUCCUCAUCAGCUCUCUUUGGGCCCUCAAGCCCCCUGGGCUGCCUACUGUCACAAAGGAGAAACUGAGGCUCAGAGAUCAGUCGGGUGAUUAGCAACAUCUAAAUCUCACAGCCUGGGGAUUUCUGAUCAAUUCUGGUAACCUAGCUUUUUGCAAAGAGUCUUAGAAAUGGGUAAGGAAGAAGGUAGAGUGAAGGGGUGAGGGUAAAAUCCCUGUUUCCUGAUCUAACAAAACGAGGCCCAAGCCCGGAGCCUUCUACGAGCACAUGACCCUGCAACGUGCAAGCACUUUGCUCAGAAGGGCAUCUGGACUUGUCAUCUCUCCUUAUCUAAUGCUUUUUCCAACUUGUCCACUCACCACAGACAGGAAACAAAGCUUCUUGGUUUUAAGAGCCUCUGAACCCCUGGGAGGUUUGGUUGAGGCUCUGUUCUCCAAGCUUAAAAAAGAUCUGUUCUUUUUUGAGGCCAACAGCAGUGCACAUUUUAUUAUUUGUUCCUGCCUGCCUCCUGUUAAGAAAGUUUUCACGAUUGACCCAAGACUCCUUUUUUCUUAUAUUCACCCAAACUUUUGUUUUACAGUGUGGCAUUCAGGGGCUCAAGAGGGGCCAGCUGCUCUGGACACACAGCUGAAAAUCUCCCUCACUCAGCCUGGAACUCAAGCCUUCAGCUUGGGGGUUUAAAACUGAGAAUUCACAGCCAGACAAGGAGGCACCAUGUGUGUUGGGGAAGGGGAGGAGGGAGACCCUACUCUUUUAAUUUCCUGCAUGAAAUGAUCACAGGCUCAUUCAUGCGAGGAAUAUGUGCUCUCUCUGGCCUCCAGAGGGGAAUUCACCGAGUGUCAAGAAGACCAGCUCAAGCCUGGAGCAGAUGCACAUGUCCAGGGAAGCAGUUAGCUCAUCAAGUGAAAUUCCAUCCACUCGCCUCAGGGCUUCUUCCGUGACUCACGCUCCUGGCCUCACAGAGUGGGAUGAACUGGUUAGGGAAGCACAAUCUAUUACCGCACCGCAGAGCCUGUAAAGCAUUUCUGUAGAAACUGUCUGAGUUUUUCUCCUGCACAGUAUUUAAAACAACCUUGCAACUGGUGAGUACCCGACACACCAGUUCUGAUGGAGAAACUGUUGCGACUGUCUGAGACUUGCCCAGUGUUCUGGCUAGAGAUACCUCAGGGUCAAGCCUACGGACUCAUGCUUGGGGGAGCUCAUUUGAGGGACAAUGUUUCCUCCCCCACAGGAGAAUAAAGUGUCCUCUAGAGCAGACUACAGUGUCAGGUGGGCACAGAAGUGCAGGGAAGCAAACUGGUUUCAGGCUGAGUGAAAUCCCAUCAGCCAGGCUCGGGGCUUGUGACUCACACCUCUGGCACCCCUGAGGGGGAUGAACAAGGUCUAGACUGAUGUGCUGUUUUCUUCCACUCUCUGCCUGGGGAGCUCUGGUGCACUCGAGAGGAGGCACACACACCUGUGAGGGUUGGGCUAAGCCUGUUACCUGUCUUUGAUCUCCAGGCAUUAAUGAGGAUGAUGGUUCCUGCAGAGGAGUGGAAAGAGACAGGGAUGUCUCACCAGCUCCAUUAGUCCAGGGGUUCACAGCUGGGUCACAGACAUGGAGAAAGCAUUAACUGACCCUUCAUUUCUGGUCACACUUCACUCUUGAUCACUUUUGAAAUCAGAGGCCCCAAGCUGGGGGGAUGUUGGGAAGGGCUUUUACCCUCACCCUUAGACAUAGAAGAGUGAGGAUCUGAAGUCUGCAGCUGGUUUCCAGGUCAAGAACAGGCAGGGAGAAGGACAGAGCCCACAACGUACACACCGGUUGACAUCCCUUCUGUGCGUGUGACACACAUGGCUGGCACCAAUUUACACAACAACCUACACGGCCAGUAGACACCUCCAACUUGGUAUAGGUGCAAUUCACAGAUGAAGAAUAACGGGAUCUCAGAAUUUGGCGAUCACUUAAUCCCACUUCCUUCCCCAAGAAGGGAUCUGACCGCAAUAUUCCUGGCAGGUCAUCCAGGGUCUGUUUGGAAGUCUCCAGCAACCAGGAGCUCACCACAAAUGAAGGGAAGUAUGGGCUUCGCCUCAGCUGGAAUCUGCCCCCCAUUACCUGCCCUUUGGCCUUUGCUGUGAGAGUUGGAAUAAAUGAUAAACAUUUGCCUUCAUGGCAGUUCUUCAAAUAUCUGAAGAGAACUGCCUUGCUUCCUCCUCCAUUUCUUUUCCUGUCAAAAAUUUUUCACUGCCUUAUAUGAUAUGGUAUCCAGACCAAUCAACACCUUCAGAGAUUGGUUUUUAAUAAUCAAUGCUUUUCAGUCAUUGUCUAUAAUGCCUGCACUCUUGUGGCUGAGUUUUGUUUCCUAUGAACUGUAAUAUAGAAUCAUAUAUUUAAUGUCCUAUAGGUUCAAAAUAUAUUAUCAUUAUUGUGACCCUUUGGACCUAUUAUUUCAGCUUCCUGUAGGUUCCUGAAUCUUUCUUCAAUCCAUGAUUUUAUUUCUCAGCAACCCUUCCUAGUUUUGUAUCUCCUCUACAUGUUAUCAGUCCACAUUUUAAUUUCCAUGAUACAUGAUGGGUAGGCGGGGGCAGAGCCCUCCCACACACCAUUAGAGGCCAUCCACUGUGUUUAUUCCAAAUUAGUCACCAGUUCUCCGUGGGUAUCCUUAGUCAGUACUCCAUGACUCCGCCUAUGGGUGCGUCCACCAAAGUGGUCUCUUCCUCUUGUCCACAAAAAUGUGACAGUGUGCAUUUCUAUAGCUAAGAGGAAUGAUUCCAUGAUCUCAGCUACAGACACAGCCCAUCCCUUGAAGUGUUCUGGAGAACUCAGCAUCCCACAAACAUCUGCUGUAGGUGGUCUAGGUGGCUCUCUCCCCGUGAAGCCAGUGAUGCCAGGAAGCAUGAGCGUUAGCCACAAAGCCCAGGAGGCAAGAAUCUUCUGACAACUCCCAAAGGCCUUCCUUGGGCAGCCUGAAUCCUGGCCCCUGCAUGACCUGUUUUUAGCAGGGGGAGUCUUGAGAGGUGAUGUGUCCCCUCCACAUUGUGGCUGGACAAGAAUGCUCCAUCCUGGUUCAUGGUCACCAGUCUGGUCUGAAUGACAGCAUAAAAGAGGCCUUCUAAGAAAAUGCAAAGUGCGAAGGCUGUGAAUGUCAAUGUCACCUGGUCCUUCAAACCAGAUGUCUGGCCUGGUUACUGUUACUGCAUUCGGAUCUGUGUGCUUUGCCUGGAAUGAUCCUCCAGCUUACCCUGGGCAUACAGCUGUCUUCCUAGGUCCUAGGGACCAUGUCCCUCUCUGGCUGAUGCCUCAGACCAUGAUGUGGUUGGCAGGCACCCCACAAAUGUCCAGAAUAAAGAAUAAAGGUGGGUCCUAUGCUUUCCUAUUGUAUAAUAGCAGCCCUACCAGAACAAGAACGUUCUCCCCAACAUUUUCUCUUCCUGAAUCUCUCUUUUCCACCCUAUGAGGUUCUGCUUUUGAUGCAAUCCACCUCAAUUCCCCUCCAAACACUAAGCAUCAGAACUACCACAGAGUAAGUAUUCAAUACACAUUUAUCUAAUGAAGUGCCACUCAGAGUCCUUUUUCCGGGAUCAUCUUUUCAUUUACUCAACCCCAAGCUCACUGAUGUUCUGGCUUAUCUUCCUUUUAUUCAAGAAGACUUUCUAGUCCCAACAAGCCUGGCUCUUCACUUGACACUCCAAUGGCUUUUCUGAGGUUCUAGGCUGAAUGGGGACCCAUCAAAGGUGCUGGGAAUGAACUCAUUGUCCUAUCAGGCAGGGCAAUGCUAUGAAGGAAUGACCCUCUCCGAUGUGUCACUGCUUAGUCUAAUAUUGUAUUCUGGGGGAUUCUCUCCCUAAAAGAAUAAUGAUUUGGGGGAGAAAAAGAUUGUUGAGUUGGAGAUAUUGUUGCCAUGAGGUACCUAGAUUUAUCUGUUGGCUACAGUGAUGACUAAGACACAGCUCCUGCUCCUCAGGGGCUUCUGGUCUCCUCAGAGAGAUGAGCUAUUUACCAGUGGGUGAUAACUGUUCCACACAAGACCAUAAAGAGUGGAGAUGAGAAGUUCUGUGAGACUGGGUUGCACAAGCCCACUCCCAAAAUCACUGACUCCUCCAAAGAGUAAAGCUGUCUUCAGUUAUGUUCAGUUACUAAAUAAAGCAGGGGUCCCGACACCAGGGCCAUGAACCAAUACCCUACUGGGCCACAGACUUGUUAGGAACAGCACCACACAGCAGGGGGCGAGUGGCAGGCAAAUGAGCAAAGCUUCAUCUGUAUUUCCGGCCACUCUCAUCUCUGGCAUUGCCGCCUGAGCUCCACCUCCUGUCAGAUCAUCGGGGCCACUGGAUUCUCAUAUGAGCAAGGACCCUACCGUUAACCAGACAUGUGAGGGUUUCAUGCUCUUUUGAAUCAUCCUGAAACCAGAACCCCAUGCCCCUGCCUCUUCUCCCUCCUGUCCAUGGAAAAAUUCUCUCCCACGAAACUUGUCCUUGGUGCCAAGAAGGUGGGGAACACUGAAAUAAAGUAUGUCUACUCUACAGUAUGUGCUCUGGUUAUCAAGAGCGCAUAUGAAGAGUGUCAGGUAGAAGUAGUCUCUCUCAGCUGAGGGAAGGAUGGAAAUCCUUCCCAUGCUCACUGCAGCUGGACCAGUGCCCAGUGGGCCUGGUGUACAGAGAGGAGCAGGCAGCGUGAGUCAUGAGGAGAAAAUGUGGACUACAGUCUGGGGAGAACUUCCUCAGGAGCCCAAAUAAGGCAAUUUCAAGUCACCUUUCUUCAGCCUUAGGGCUGGCACUGGCUGGAGGUCAAGGCUCAGUGACACUCCUUGGCCUGUGUCCAUGGUGGAUCCCACUGCCCCAUGGCGGUGACAUCCAACAUGUUCCUCAAGGACAGGAGUCUCAGCAUCCUGCUCCUCCUGCCCAAAAGCCCACAUGCUUUGCAUAUAAGAGGAAUUCAAUCGCUUGAUAAUUUAGUUCUUUACAUGAAGAAAUUGUAGAAAAGCUCAAUCUGAAACUGAGCCAUAAAUGUACAAGAAGGGUCACAAACCCUUCUCAUUGGCCACUUCCAAAAGCAGACUUGGGCCACCAACAUCAGAGUCAUCUGAGAGAGCAUUAAUAAAAACAAGCUAGUCCCAUAGUGGGAAAUUCUCAUUCAGUAGGUCAAAAUGAGGCCCCAGUGUCUGCAGUUGUAAAGUGGCUCUGGUCCCCAGCUAGAUUGGGGACAACUGUCCCAUGGUUGCCAGCCUCCAAGAUGGCCCCCAAUGAUCUCCACCAUCUGCAUUCAUUCCCUUGUGUCAUCUCCUCCCAGAUGGGACCAGGGUUGGUCUGUGUGACCAAGAGACUAGAGCAGAAAUGAUGGUCAUCACUUCUGAGCGUGGGUUAUCAAAGACUGUGGCUCCCAUCAGCAGUUUCUCUUCUAUGAAUCACUCAUCCUGGGGGGAGACACUGAGGACAUAUCUUGAGGACACUGAGGCCGCUUAUGGAGAAGCUGUGCUGAGCGGAAAAGGGAGUUCCAGCCAGUAGCUAGUGCCCGCCCUCAAUCACAUGAGUCAGCAGGGGAAGGGGUACAGCUUCAUGGGAAAGAAUCAGGUCGUUAAGCCUCCACUGGCUUCUUGACCCAUGGAAACUGUGAGAUGAUUCAUGUUGGUUGUGUUAGGCUGAAAAAUCUGGAAGCAAAUUGUUAUGCAGCAAGUGCUAACUAAUACAUUUUCCCACCAAAGGGCAAGCUCCCACACACGGCUCACCUACCUUCCCAGCCUGAGCUCACAUGCUCCUAAAUAGAUGCACAUCACCUUGGUAAUCAUCCCCUGCUCGCCACCAGGCCACGCUCCUCACCUCUGUGCCUGGAUGCCCUUCCCCAUGGAUGACAUCCCCUUCUCCAGAAAUCCUCCCUGAAACUGCCCUUCAGGGUUGGUCCCCUCCUUGGUGUUCACGUACACUUCUUGAAAUCAGUGGGAAAGCGGCAAGUUACAUGGAAGAAGAACAUUCACAUCAAGAACUCAUCAAGAGCAUAGA